AGGAACUCACCUAAGAGUCCGAUCCUGGCUCAGGACGCGGGCUGCGAUCACCUCCUAAUAUUUAGAUUUACAUUUGAGUGAGUGGCGAACUGGUGAGUAACACGUGGGAAACCUGCCCAGAAGCGGGGGAUAACACCUGGAAACAGAUGCUAAUACCGCAUAACAACUUGGACCGCAUGGUCCGAGUUUGAAAGAUGGCUUCGGCUAUCACUUUUGGAUGGUCCCGCGGCGUAUUAGCUAGAUGGUGGGGUAACGGCUCACCAUGGCAAUGAUACGUAGCCGACCUGAGAGGGUAAUCGGCCACAUUGGGACUGAGACACGGCCCAAACUCCUACGGGAGGCAGCAGUAGGGAAUCUUCCACAAUGGACGAAAGUCUGAUGGAGCAACGCCGCGUGAGUGAAGAAGGGUUUCGGCUCGUAAAACUCUGUUGUUAAAGAAGAACAUAUCUGAGAGUAACUGUUCAGGUAUUGACGGUAUUUAACCAGAAAGCCACGGCUAACUACGUGCCAGCAGCCGCGGUAAUACGUAGGUGGCAAGCGUUGUCCGGAUUUAUUGGGCGUAAAGCGAGCGCAGGCGGUUUUUUAAGUCUGAUGUGAAAGCCUUCGGCUCAACCGAAGAAGUGCAUCGGAAACUGGGAAACUUGAGUGCAGAAGAGGACAGUGGAACUCCAUGUGUAGCGGUGAAAUGCGUAGAUAUAUGGAAGAACACCAGUGGCGAAGGCGGCUGUCUGGUCUGUAACUGACGCUGAGGCUCGAAAGUAUGGGUAGCAAACAGGAUUAGAUACCCUGGUAGUCCAUACCGUAAACGAUGAAUGCUAAGUGUUGGAGGGGUUUCCGCCCCUUCAGUGCUGGCAGCUAAACGCAUUAAGCAUUUCCGCCUGGGGGAAGUACGGCCCGCAAAGGCUGAAAACUCCAAAGGAAUUUGACGGGGGGGCCCGCAACAACCGGGUGGAACCAGGUGGGUUUAAUUUCGAAAGCUACGCCGAAGAAACCUUUACCAG
rnacentral:rRNA from 2 species